CCCGUGAAGCACAUCUGCACGCAUAGGCAUUCUGCGUCCUACACGCAGGAGUAGCUGUGUAGUCAGCCAGACUCUCUGUGGGAAAGACGUGUCUCGGGAUCUGACAGACAGUUCCCUCUCAAAGAAACCAACAACAGAAAAGGGAGGUUGCCUAAGCGUUUAAGGCCACACACUUGGUGUUGCUACAGCUUAGAAUGCAGCAGCUAUUCUCUACGGUGCACAGAGGACACCUGGACUGAAGAUCAGGUCCGCCUCUCCCCACUCUCCCCACCUACCACGUCUCCGUCAGCCCCGAUGUCACGAACACACAUCCCUUCCUCUCCAGCCCUACUCCCAUCCCCUUCUUCUGGGUUCUUACCCGAAGUUCUGUUGUAACUCAGGGGUCUCAGUUAAGUCCGUAUGCAUCCCUUUAAUCUGCUUUUAAUAUUUCUAGAGAGGGCUCUGAUGUUUCUGUGCUCGAAAAUGUGAGACGAUUCUCGAUUUCCUACCAAAUAUAGCUGCAGUUCUUCAGGCCUUCUCUGACCUGGUGCUAGUCUAGUUUACAAGGUUUUCUUCCACUCUUUCCCUUCAGGGAUCCUGCAAGGCUCAGCAAGCUACACUCCUUCUGUUCCCUCAACCUCUGAGGCUGCGUAUUGCUUCCCGGAGUCAUCUCCUUCUCCGUCACUUGUCUGUACAAAUCCUACAUCUCUUCCCAAGGAAGACCCAGCUCAAGUGGUGCCUCUGCCAUGCUACCUUCCCUCACCCCUCCAGCCAGGUCUCCCACUUCUUCAAAUUUCCAAAGUAUACUUUUUGGUGUUUCUCUCAGGGCAAUCAGUUAUUUCUAUCAGUUGUAUUUCUGUAAUUCUUCUUUACUUCUGCUUACUUCCAUAAGUUCCUUAAGGGCAGAGACUUCAUUCAUUCAAACAACCUUGGGCCUGGGGACCCCCUGGUACAAGAAACAGAUACGGUCACUGUCCUAGUGGAACUUGAUGUAAUGGGGUUUAGUCCAGCUGUUUAGUCAGUUACAUUAGUAAUAGAAGCGCAGGAUGUUAUGUGAACAUAAUACAAAGUCUCAACCUAGCAGGAAAGGCUCUGGGAGAGCUUCCUUAAGAAGGGAUACUUAAUAUGAACUUAAUGGAUGAGGAAACCAGGUGAAGGGGAGAAAAACGGCAGAUGCCAGUGUCCUAAAGAACAGUUCGGGGAAAGUCUAGCCAGGCUGAUAGCAGUUGUUCUGAGGAUUAAAGUUAGUAUUAAUUCAUAACUCCUACAGCCUAUUUCAGACCCUCAUUUAAAAACGAGUGAGACUCUGAGACAUUUGCUGAAGUGAGAGUUGAGGCUAAUCAUCAGGCAGUCUGAUGAAAAUAAUUCUAGGUAUUCUGUCCUAAAGUUCCCGGGUAAGUACCUGUAAGCACUGUCGUACAUGGAGCUUAUGACCACUUCUUGGCAACAUUUAAUCAUUCCUUUGACAGUUUUUGAGUUCUCUGUACCAGGUACUACAGAGGACACACAAAUAGAAGGCAUAUUCCCUGAUCUCAAGAAUGUAGUCAGGUGAGGGAGACACGCGAGCGUGAUGCCAGUCUUGUAAUCAACAGAUGAGGCUUCUGAAGUGGUCACAACAUACGAGGCAUGGUUCUAAGCAUUUUACAUGUAACUCACUCGAUUCUCACAACUCCUCUGAGGUAGAUUUUGCAAGGCUGUGUGGCUGAGAAGUGGUUUGGUAAAGGCAAACAAAAUCUACUGUGGGAAUCUACAGGAGUGAGUCAACCUCAAACCGAGGCAGGUAGAAGGGGAGUGUGAGGGCUGAGGGGCGGGUUCCGGGGGAGUGGGGGGCAGGAGGCUUUCGGCAGGGCAGUGGCCUGAUUAGAAAGAUGACUGCAGUAGCAAUGCCAAGGAUGGACUGGAAGGAAGCCCAGCUGAAGGGAGGGAAUGGCAGCAAGGAGGCUGGUGCUGUUAUUAGGCCAGAAACAACACAGGCUCGGAUGAAGCUAGUAGCAGCAGGGAUGAAUAAUGGAAAAUGUUAUCAACAGGGCUGUGAAGGAUAACCCUGUGGAGGUAUUAAAUAGAUGACAGCACAUGAGAAAAAAUCGACCAGUGCACAUCUUUAGAAAAUGGUCACGAGCACUUCCUUUCACACCGUAAGAAAAAGUUACAAUGGCUCUCCUUUAAGGAACUGUGUUUGGGAGAGAGCCGAGUCCACAGAGACUCCACCAAGUCAAUACCUCUUGAGACUCCAGCCCUGUUCACGGCCUGAUUUCUCAGUGGAUCUUUCUCCCUGUAAUGGGCAGGAAGGGCACCGUUUACGUGGAUCACACAUCUGUUAGUACUUUUCCUGUUUAUCUUACUGGGUUUCUCAAGAUCAAAUAGCUAAAAAGUGCUAGCAGUUUAUAAACCGUAAAACAAAAUGAAAAGGAUUGUUAGGCUAGGCACGGUGGCUCACGCCUGUAGUCCCAGCACUUUGGGAGGCCGAGGUGGGUGGAUCACGAGGUCAGGAGAUGGAGACUCUC
rnacentral:lncRNA from 1 species